GUCCCUGUAGCUUACAACUAAAGCAUGGCACUGAAGAUGCCAAGACGUUGCCACACGCACCCAAGGACA
rnacentral:tRNA from 1 species